rnacentral:rRNA from 1 species
CAGCCGCCGCGGUAACACCAGCAGCCCAAGUGGUGGUCGCGAUUAUUGGGCCUAAAGCGCUCGUAGCCGGGCCGGUAAGUCCCUUGUGAAAUCGGACGGCCUAACCGUUCGGCGUGCAAGGGAUACUGUCGGUCUUGAGGCCGGGAGACGUCCGAGGUACUCCGGGGGUAGCGGUGAAAUGUUCUGAUCCUCGGGGGACCACCGGUGGCGAAGGCGUUCGACGAGAACGGGCCUGACGGUGAGGGGCGAAGGCUAGGGGAGCAAACGGGAUUAGAUACCCCCGUAGUCCCUGUCUCUUAUA